rnacentral:rRNA from 1 species
AUGCUGAUCCAACAGACGAACUGCAGCAAGCCCCGGCGGCGAGGUCGCCGGCGUGUGCGCCGCAGCGGUGGUGGUGUCCGGCUGGGCUUGCUGCUCCGGCUGCGCGUGCGGCUGUCCGGCAUCGUCGGCCUGCUCGUCAGGAGCGUGGAGGAGCUCAGAUGCUGCUCCGCCCGUGGCAAGAUCGGCUGCUCGACGUCGAGAGUGCGCAGGCCGGCGGCGUCCCUUGGCGGUAGCUGCCGUCGCCGUCCGGCGCCGGCAGAGAGGAAUCAGAGUUCCUUCUACAACGAGGCCAUAGCAGACUGCUUGGAGUUCAUCAAGAGCAGAUCGACCUACGUGCCUGCGAAGGAUGAUAAGAUUGUCAGUUUGAAUUAG